UGGGCACUGACGUUGAGGGAUUAAACCAUUGCCAAUCCGACUCUAAUUACGAGUAACGGAUUAGUACGCGUGCACCCGGAAAGUGCCGAGCAAACGAGGAAACUUUCGCGGACAAGCUACGUACGGAUUCGCUCUCGCUCUUGUUCCUACUUUCACCCCAACCAAAUUUAACGCUUCUUUUCGAUCGGCACGACCUACCAACAAGCGACAGCUUAAAGAAUAAAUUACGACGAGGCAAAAACAUCUGCAGCAACUUAAUUACUUUGAAGUAAGGGCAAUUGGCGGAAAGGAAUAUGCGAAUAAGACAAAGCGUUUGUUCCGCACCCAAUUCUAUUUCGUUACUCGGAAGAAAUAUACGCGGACGUGAAUCAAAAAGUUUGUACGCUUCUUCUAAGCAUUCUUGAACUCUUAGUAUAUCUUGCUUCAAAAAACAGAAGAGAAUUACUGGUGAUUGCUAGCGCUCGAGAAGAGAAUAGGAUGGUUACUACGCCAUUGUCUGGAUAUGUCAGCAUUCAAGUUCUCUUCCCCUUCCUUUUCUACAACCCUCUACCCUUUUACUAUGUCUCUCUCCCUCCCCCCCCCCCCCUCUCUCUCUCUCUCUCUCUCUCUCUCUCCAUUUCAGCUCAUAUCCCUUAGCGUAUCUCGCGAGUACGACGACAACACUACGACACCAUCUUUGGCCAGGCAUUUUUGACUAAUGGUCCGUGAGCGAAACUGUUUGCCGCCAUUAUCGUAUCGCUCGAAUGUCCAGCAGCUAUUGGAUCGUUCUACCACAUCGAAGAUAAGGAUCCUUGAACGACCGAUCCCGAACGUCGUUCGACCCUUAAAAUCUCGACCUCCGAGAGAAUUGGGCCCGAAGUACCGCGUGCACCACGUCCCGACGUGUUCAUGAUACUUUCUUACGUCCUUUCGGCAGUAGAAGCAAGCAUCGAAGGAAGAAGAUGAAGGUUUGUAAAAGUUCUGACUGCGAACGGUACCAUAACUCGAGCGCUCGUGGAACAUGAAAGCUGAGUGGAAAGAGGGAUGAGAAAGAAGAAGAAGAAGAAGAAGAGGAAAUAAGGAAGCGGGAGUGGAGAAGAGGGAAACGUUGAAUCGUCGAGAAACCAAACUUUAACAACACAGUAUAGAUGUACACGUGCAUGAGGCGGCGUGAAAGAAGAGAUCCUCUUUCCGCCUUUCCUUCAAUUUCACUGUCUCCGUGCUUUCUCUUUCUCUCUCUCUCUCUCUCUCUCUCUCUCUCCCUCUCCCUCUCCCUCUCCCUCUAUUUCUCUUAUCCUUUUCUUCUGCCAUCAGUUCCGCUUUUCCUUUACUACGUACCAAUAUACGAACGCAUAGACGAAGCGAAGUCUGAUACCAGUGGUAAAUCAGUUCGUCUUACCUGCUUUGGAAGUCAGACCGAUUCGAGCGGCAUUGUUCGGCAAACAGUAAUUCAUUAAAUUCUAUGACUCUAUGAGACGUGAAUGCAUCCGCCUUGCUAACUUUGAGGACAUCCUUUCCCUGCUUUCUCUUCCUUCAAUACCGUACUAUCUGCAAUACGGUUCUGCUCGUUCGUCUUUCCCACCCCCAACUUACUCCCUUCCUCAGUUACCGUCAUCAUCUUUCUUCAGUCCCUUUCUCUCUCUCUCUCUCUCUUGUUCACCCUUCAUACCAUCGCCAUUCGUCGUCGUCUCGACGCUCCAACAUGACAUUACUACUACCAAGCGAGAACUUUGACGAGCAACUUGAAGUAUUCCACUAGCAGUGCAGCAUCGCAAUCAUGACCCGCUUUCACGCAAAUUACUCCGCCACGUUCGGAAACACCGAGUUUCUACGGGGAGGCGAAAGACAACAGACUCUUGUCCUUGAAACUCCUUGUCGUCGAAUUGUAAUCGACGCGGAAAAUCCAUUUAUUGGGGCGUCUAAUAAUUUCUAAUUUGAAGAAAUGGUGUUAAUGGCGGUCCAAUGCUGUUACAUGACGACUUACGAAUUCAAUGCGUUACACGCCAUCGUGAAAAUCUACGAGGACGGUUAUAAUAGAUAAGUCGUUCCGUAUCAAUUAUUAUUCUACAAUGCAAAUUAGUAUUAUCAUUAUUGUAAUGAGCUGUUGCAUAAAAUUAUAAUGAAAU